UACGAAGGGUGCAAGCGUUAAUCGGAAUUACUGGGCGUAAAGCGCGCGUAGGUGGUUCAGCAAGUUGGAUGUGAAAGCCCUGGGCUCAACCUGGGAACUGCAUCCAAAACUACUGAGCUAGAGUACGGUAGAGGGUAGUGGAGUUUCCUGUGUAGCGGUGAAAUUCGUAGAUAUCAGGAGGAACACCGGUGGCGAAGGCGACUUCCUGGCCAGAUACUGACGCUGAGACGCGAGAGCGUGGGGAGCAAACAGGAUUAGAAACCCGUGUAGU
rnacentral:rRNA from 1 species